GACGAACGCUGGCGGCGUGCUUAACACAUGCAAGUCGAACGAAGUGGCGAACGGGUGAGUAACGCGUAAUCAACCUGCCCUUCAGAGGGGGCCAACAGUUGGAAACGACUGCUAAUACCGCAUACUGAAGGUGGGGUAUGCGUCUGAUGAGCUAGUUGGGGGGGGAACGGCCCACCAAGGCGAUGAUCAGUAGCCGGUCUGAGAGGAUGAACGGCCACAUUGGGACUGAGACACGGCCCAGACUCCUACGGGAGGCAGCAGUGGGGAAUCUUCCGCAAUGGACGAAAGUCUGACGGAGCAACGCCGCGUGAGUGAUGACGGCCUUCGGGGUGUAAAGCUCUGUUAAUCGGGACGCGGUACCGGAAUAGAAAGCCACGGCUAACCACGUGCCAGCAGCCGCGUAAUUC
rnacentral:rRNA from 1 species